GAUGAACGCUGGCGGCGUGCCUAAUACAUGCAAGUCGAGCGAACAGACGAGGAGCUUGCUCCUCUGACGUUAGCGGCGGACGGGUGAGUAACACGUGGAUAACCUACCUAUAAGACUGGGAUAACUUCGGGAAACCGGAGCUAAUACCGGAUAAUAUAUGGAACCGCAUGGUUCAAUAGUGAAAGACGGUUUUGCCGUCACUUAUAGAUGGAUCCGCGCCGCAUUAGCUAGUCGGUAAGGUAACGGCUUACCAAGGCAACGAUGCGUAGCCGACCGGAGAGGGUGAUCGGCCACACUGGAACUGAGACACGGUCCAGACUCCUACGGGAGGAAGCAGUAGGGAAUCUUCCGCAAUGGGCGAAAGCCUGCCGGAGCAACGCCGCGUGAGUGAUGAAGGUCUUCGGAUCGUAAAACUCUGUUAUUAGGGAAGAACAAAUGUGUAAGUAACUAUGCACGUCUUGACGGUACCUAAUCAGAAAGCCACGGCUAACUACGUG
rnacentral:rRNA from 1 species